rnacentral:rRNA from 1 species
AUUGAACGCUGGCGGCAGGCCUAACACAUGCAAGUCGAGCGGAGCGGCGGACGGGUGAGUAAGUCCUAGGAAGCUGCCUGGUAGUUGGGGAUAAAGUCCGGAAACGGGCGCUAAUACCGCAUACUAUCAGAUGAACCUAGGUCGGAUUAGCUAGUUGGUGGGGUAAAGGCCUCCCAAGGCGACGAUCCGUAACUGGUCUGAGAGGAUGAUCAGUCACACUGGAACUGAGACACGGUCCAGAAUCCUACGGGAGGCAGCAGUGGGGAAUAUUGGACAAUGGGCGAAAGCCUGAUCCAGCCAUGCCGCGUGUGUGAAGAAGGUCUUCGGAUUGUAAAGCACUUUAAGUUGGGAGGCGUUACCAGCAGAAUAAGCACCGGCUAACUUCGUGCCAGCAGCCGCGGUAAUAC